GGAUCGCAAGACCUUGCGCUCUUUGAGCGGCCGAUGUCUGAUUAGCUAGUUGGUGAGGUAAAGGCUUACCAAGGCGACGAUCAGUAGCUGGUCUGAGAGGACGACCAGCCACACUGGGACUGAGACACGGCCCAGACUCCUACGGGAGGCAGCAGUGGGGAAUUUUGGACAAUGGGGGCAACCCUGAUCCAGCCAUGCCGCGUGAGUGAAGAAGGCCUUCGGGUUGUAAAGCUCUUUCAGCCGGAACGAAAAGGUUACGGUUAAUACCCGUGACUAAUGACGGUACCGGAAGAAGAAGCACCGGCUAACUACGUGCCAGCAGCCGCGGUAAUACGUAGGGUGCGAGCGUUAAUCGGAAUUACUGGGCGUAAAGCGUGCGCAGGCGGUUCUGUAAGUCAGAUGUGAAAUCCCCGGGCUUAACCUGGGAACUGCGUUUGAA
rnacentral:rRNA from 1 species